rnacentral:tRNA from 1 species
GCGGAUGUGGCGGAACUGGAAUACGCGUAGCGUUCAGAACGCUAUGCCGCAAGGCUUGUGGGUUCGAGUCCCACCAUCCGCACCA